rnacentral:lncRNA from 1 species
UCAAAUAGUAAGAUGGCAAUACAAUUAUGGGUGACUUGAAUACAUGAAGGCAAUCUGCCAAUGUCACAUUUUUGGGGAUAAUUCACUACUUAUUUUUAUACAUAAGAGAAAAAGUAGAAAUUUUUUCAAUAAGGUAAUUGUGGUUUUACAGAAAAUGUCUCAUCCCUUGAAAUAUCUCUAUAGGUAAAAUAAGAUAUACAGUUUAUUUGCCUAAAAAGUAAAUACAUACAGUGUAUGUAUGAACAGUAAAAACAUUAAGAGUUUGUAAUGUGUCCUCUCUACUAUUAAUGCUGACAGAUAUUCUUUACCUACUGUAAUGAUUAUGUUUUAUUCUCCACACAUCUUACUUAGGAGUUGCAAAGAAAUACAUUAGGAUUUCUAUGCUUUUUAGUUAUUUAUCUUAAUGUUUACAUAAAUACAUUGAUUACUACCUGUGUAAAAAACCAACCAACCAACAUACCAAAACUCUAGGCUUUGCACAAAGAAUUGCUACUUUAAGUUAAUAUCUGCCCCUCUGAUGACUUUUAUUAGAUGUUUAAUUAUAAAAAAUGUAUUAUGUAACUUCUUAUGUAAUCUCUUCAUUCUUAUAUUUGCAUAUAUAAUAUAUAUUAGAUGCCAGAUAUGCUCUUUAAGGCACGUUAAAAUUUGCAAAUUUAAGAAACAUGAAAUUUUAAAUUUUCCUACAAGAGAUAAAGUUUUAACCAUUCUAUGAUUCUUUUUUGCUUUUCUCAAAAGAAUUUCAACAUAAAACGUUAGUAAUAUAGAAAUUGAAACUUAUAGGCAAGAAAAAAAUGAGAUUAUAAACUUGCUUACCAUACCAGCAGAAUUGUUUUGCUAAGUUUUAAGGUUUUCUCUGAGCUUCUUUGGAACCUUGACCAAAAGAAAUUAUGUUAGGUAUUUGUAACAAACAAGAAAUGACAUUUUUCUUGGUGCUAAAUUUUGGAAAUAAAGACAAUGAUAGGAAGUGAAUAUGGAGUUUUAUAGAAAGGACUCAAACUAAUGUGACAUUGAUCUUACCAGUAUUUUACAGUAAAGGCAGAAACCACCUUCAUAGAGCUAUUACUUGUAUCGACCUGUCAUAAAAGCUGAGGGUGUGACAUUAAAAUGUAGUUCAGGAAAAGCUGUUUUAUGAGGGACUUUGAUAAUGUGGUCCAAGUUAUGGAGAGUUGUGGUUUAGCUUCAUGAAAGCAAAGGAUGCUUUCCAGUGCAGUGAGUGAAUAGCUCACUCAUCAGCAACUCCCAAAUGCCUGCUCGGACAUAUUAGAAUCACCCGGGAAGCUACUCAUUUUCCAGUCUCUGGACCUAGACAUCAGCUCUGUAGGUCUGGGAUGGGACAUAAUGAAACUGUCUCUUUGAAAACCUGUUUAGGUGGUUCUGAUGUAUGACCAGGUUUUGGAAGCAAUGCAUUGAUAAUUUCCCCUGAAUAUCACUUCUGCCAGUUGGGUCUUUUUAUAGGAGCUGGCCAUUAGUGGGGGUUAUAAAAUUUGAGUAUUCCUUCCAGUGGACCUAGAGUGAAAAUAUUGCACAGCAAGGGGAGUAGGCUUUUAAAAGAGUUGUUAACCAAAAGGAGCAGUCCAGUUCCUGGAGCACAUGCCUUGGAAGAGAUAGUUGAGGGGCUGAUGAGAAAGAAGAAAGAAGCAAAGAGAUGACAUUCAAAUACAUGGAGAGAUGGUCUUUUUAAAAGACAGCAGACUUGGCCCACUCAGCUUUUUAAGGGCUGAGUUAGGACCUACCUACAUGUGGAAGCUAAUAGGGGCAGAUUGCAGUAAACAUUUUUUUUUUGGUCUUUUUGCCAUUUCAUGGGCUGCUCCCGUGACACAUGGAGGUUCCCAGGCUAGGGGUCAAACCGGAGCUGCAGCCACUGGCCUACGCCAGAGCCACAGCAACGUGGGAUCCGAGCCGCAUCUGCGACCUAUACCACAGCUCACGGCAACACCGGAUCCUUAACCCACUGAGCAAGGGCAGGGAUCGAACCCGCAACCUCAUGGUUCCUAGUCGGAUUCGUUAACCACUGAGCCAUGACAGGAACUCCUGAUUGCAGUAAACAUUUUAAAAAGAAUAUUCUAAAAGUCUUUAGCAUAAAUCUUUAACAGUAGAGUUAGCUAUCCCAAGGCUAUUGAGUUCUCUGUGGCUUUAAGUUUGCCUACAGCAGAAGCAUGAGAGCUAUAGAGGAAAUUAGUGAUUUGGAUGGAAAGGGCUAUGAAUUUCAAUCCUAGAGUCUGAAAACUUCUAAUGUUGUUUUCCACCCAUGGAUCAGUAAAAAAGAGGUGUAUUCCAAGGAAACACCAGGAGCGACUCCCUGGAACUCUAGAAGUGAUGGCUGAAGAGCAACAUGACAUUGCUUAUACAUGAUAAUGGAAUUACAAUUAUUUGAUGACCUUUGAGAAUACUAAGUGACAUGGUGGUAUACAUAUACAUUAAAAGUAAAAUACACUAGUUUUAUUCCUCAAAACAAAUAUACUUUAUAUUUAAAAUUGUGGGGGGUUAUUACACUAUUCAUCUAGAUUCCUACACUUGAUCUUAUUGUUCUUACUGUAUUUGAAGAUAAGUAAGGUUUUAUAUUAAAAGAAGACAAAUUUAAGGAAUUUCAAGGAAUUAAAUUGGUACACUAAUAGAUUUCAGAUUGUGGAAUGAAUACUGUUGCAUCUUAUACGUGACAGGGUUUUUAAAAAAAAUUAUAGUUUAUUUACAAUGUUCUGUCAGUUUCUGCUCUACAGCAAAGUGAUCCAGUUACACAUUUAUAUAUGUUCUUUUUCUCUCAUUAUCUUCCGUCAUGUUCCAUCACAAGCAAUUGGAUAUAGUUUCCAGCAGGAUCUCAUUGCUUAUCCAUUCCAAAUGCAGUAGUUUUCAUCUCCUAACCCCAGAUUUAUAAAUGCUCCAUCAGGUAGUCAUUUAACCCACCCACCACAUGGAGUUAGUGUUAGGACCAAAUGAGUUCAUGCAUAUAAGGAGCUUAAAAGAGUCCAUGCAAUAAAUGCUCAAUAAAUGUAAGUUAAUAUUAUUAUUACUACUGUUAUUGAUGAACAGACUGACUUGCUUUCAGGUGGUGAUUGUAGCAUUGGGCAUGUGCAAGACACAAAGCAGCUGUCCUGUAAGAGUCUGUUCAUGAUCAUAAAGAUGUCAUAAUCAUCAGAGCUUCCCAGCCAGGUCUAUGGGAUGUGGUCCAUUUUGCGUCCUAUUUCGAAAGCAGGCAUUACCUGAAUGUGUUCCCAGUGCUUAGGCUGCAGCUAUUAAACAAAGAUCUCAUCCCUACAUAAGGACUGAUAUUUUUUUUAGAAGAUACUGGUGAGGAUUAAUGAAGUUCCUGGAGUUCAGCACAUUUGAGUUGAAUUUUGAAAGAAUUAAAAAUGAGCGGAGAGGGAAAAGGAGAUGUCUGAUCUUUUUAAGUAGGAAAAGUGGCAUAUGAAAUAGAGACGAAAGUGACAAAAUGAUAUUCUAGAGUAUUGAGAUCAAUGUACCUGACUUGAGAAACAGGCUGUUAAGAAUUAAGAGGAAGAGAUUAGUGAAUGAGGCUGUGUGAGGAGGGACCCCCAAACUAGAUGGUGGUGUGUAUGUAUUUGAUGUGGUGGGGGUGGGGAGCCCUUUGUGGAAUCUGUGAACAGGAGAAAAUGGCACUUAAGGAAGAUGGACUCCAGCAUUUCAUUCAAAAGAGAAAAUGAAUUUGGAAGUAGUAGGCAUAAAUGAAAAUGGGCAAAUUCUAGAGAUGCUUCAGAGGAAUAGCCAGAGGACUUAGUGACUUAUUGGCCAUUAUGGAAAGUGAGAGGCAGACACAACUUAGAAUAGAUAUACAAGGAGAUCCUGCUAAAUAGCAUUGAGAACUUUGUCUAGAUACUCAUGUUGCAACAGAACAAAGGGGGGAAAAAUGUAAUUGUAAUGUAUACAUGUAAGGAUAACCUGACCCCCUUGCUGUACAGUGGGAAAAUAAAAAAAUUAAAAAAAAAUAAAAA